rnacentral:rRNA from 1 species
AACGAACGCUGGCGGCAGGCCUAACACAUGCAAGUCGAGCGAUCCUUUCGGGGAUAGCGGCGGACGGGUGAGUAACGCGUGGGAACGUACCCUUUGCUACGGAAUAGCCCCGGGAAACUGGGAGUAAUACCGUAUGUGCCCUCUGGGGGAAAGAUUUAUCGGCAAAGGAUCGGCCCGCGUUGGAUUAGGUAGUUGGUGGGGUAAUGGCCUACCAAGCCGGCGAUCCAUAGCUGGUUUGAGAGGAUGAUCAGCCACACUGGGACUGAGACACGGCCCAGACUCCUACGGGAGGCAGCAGUGGGGAAUCUUAGACAAUGGGGGCAACCCUGAUCUAGCCAUGCCGCGUGAGUGAUGAAGGCCCUAGGGUUGUAAAGCUCUUUCAGCUGGGAAGAUAAUGACGGUACCAGCAGAAGAAGCCCCGGCUAACUCCGUG